GUUUUGUCUCUUCAGCUUCCGGCUUUGUAACCUCAGCUUCAUGAGAACUGUUCUAGAAACUAGCUGCAUGAGGCAAUGGCCAGUCAAACCCCGCCCCCACCUGUACAUCUUGGGUUUGACUGUCUGCUGUUCUACUGGUACUUCUUGAGUCUUGUCAUAUUUGUGACGUACCGAGUGUUGCGCCGUGUGGUGACGUCAUUUACUAACAACAGCUGACGUCAUGGCGCCGUCCUGCAGGCAGUGCUGAAGUCACAGCGUCAGAGAGGAAAGAUUACUUGGAAUAUCUCAAGAUGGAUGUAGACACUUCAUGUGUGAAGUUUGUAAUGUUGACAUAAGCUCUUAUUGUUAGCGGAUGACUAAUAGCUGCUGAAUAGUUAGGAAUGGUCAAAUAGUAUGAGGCAGAUGGACUGUGAUCGUUUGAAGAAAUAACUGGGUGCGUGUAUAUGUUAAAAGUACAUCUAUAGAAGUAAGUACAUGCUGAUUACAAUUAAAAACAACUACUUCAAAC
rnacentral:sRNA from 1 species